rnacentral:rRNA from 1 species
AUGGUAGGAUAGAGGCCUACCAUGGUGGUAACGGGUAACGGGGUGUUAGGGCACGACACCGGAGAGGGAGCCUGAGAAACGGCUACCACAUCCAAGGAUGGCAGCAGGCGCGCAAAUUACCCAAUCCCGACACGGGGAGGUAGUGACAAUAAAUAACAAUACGGGGUUCUUUAGGAUCUCGUAAUUGGAAUGAGUACAAUUUAAAUCUCUUAACGAGGAACAAUUGGAGGGCAAGUCUGGUGCCAGCAGCCGCGGUAAUUCCAGCUCCAAUAGCGUAUAUNAAAGUUGUUGCAGUUAAAAAGCUCGUAGUUGAAUUUCGGGGUCAGUAGGUCGGUCGUGCCACUGGUAUGAACUGGUUUUACUGAUUCCUCCCUCUUGAAGAACUGUAAUGCCAUUAAUUUGGUGUUGCAGGGAAUCAGGACCGUUACUUUGAAAAAAUUAGAGUGUUUAAAGCAGGCUUUAGCUUGAAUACAUUAGCAUGGAAUAAUGAAAUAGGACGUUUGAUCCUAUUUUGUUGGUUUCUAGGAUUGACGUAAUGAUUAAUAGGGAUAGUUGGGGGCAUUAGUAUUCAAUUGUCAGAGGUGAAAUUCUUGGAUUUAUUGAAGACUAACUACUGCGAAAGCAUUUGCCAAGGAUGUUUUCAUUAAUCAAGAACGAAAGUUAGGGGAUCGAAGACGAUCAGAUACCGUCGUAGUCUUAACCAUAAACUAUGCCGACUAGGGAUCGGAUGAUGUUAAUUUUUUAAUGACUCAUUCGGCGCCUUACGGGAAACCAAAGUGUUUGGG